GGGAUCCCGCGUGGCGAGAUCGACGAUGACGUGGAGGAGGAAAGAAUGUUCAGGCGAGAGAAAAAAGGACACCGCGAUUGACAGCUAGAAAUUCAAGUUGAGAACCUACGACAAUCCGAAGAUACCUACGUUCGGAGCCCCGCUAGAGCAUGAGAAGCACAAUGGCCGCGAAGAUGUAGCCAUGCCAAUGUCCUCGUCGCUUCAUCGGCACGCAUAGCAUAAUCUAUUUAACGAAGAACCUAACGCAACCAUGCUGGUACAAAUCUCGACAAGAAAUACGGAAAAAGUAAGAAUAUGGAGAAAACAUGAAAAUGCAGCCUCUUUGAAUUAAAAUUAUUAUCGAGUGCUAACCUCGUAUUGGUGAAAACGGCACAGAUAUCAUUUCAGAUUUCAAUUUACCUAAAUUAUCUUGAAAUUAUUGGAAAAUUAUAUUAAUAUCGAUGAUAAUAGCCGAAGUUGCAGUUGUCUUAAAAUAAAUAUCCACUGCGUGAAUUAUUACACAAAAUAAAAAGCAAAGCGGUAGAACCCAAACAAGAGCGGAGAACAUCCAAGUGUUGGCCAAAGAUGCGUGCGGGAAUCGCAAAUUAAGGACGAGAGAAGGCACUCGCGGGUCAGAAGAUGUCCCGCUCUCGGUUCGCUCCGGUCCGCAUACCGGACGAACCGAGCAACGCCGCAGCCGCAGCCAUAGCCGCCUUCGUGCAAAAAAGUACAAAACUUGUGACCCGACUCGGAGCCCCCGGUCCUGCCGUUCGCCUCGGAACCGCCAUACUUUUUGCCGACACUCCGAGAGUACGAGAGAACGAACUGUGUCCGGCGCGAACGUCAGCAGAAUGUAAAAUAUGCAACAUACUCUCGUCCGUGUCUCGUGGUUUCCCGCCCGGUGAUUCCAGUAACCCUGUGCGAGAUAUAAGCAAUCCCUACAAUGGCAUUACAAUCUAGAAAUAUACGUUGUAUUGCAAGAUGGAAAAAGAAAUGAACUGAAGACGAUCGAGAAUACAAUGAUUCUCGGUAAUCGAGGAAGAUCCUGUUGCAUAGAGCACAGCGUUUCUUUUCGAUCGCAGCAACAAACGUCCUUUCCGCGAAAACCCGCAAGACGAAGGAUUUCUCAUCUGCACACGUCGCGUCAUCUGGUCUUUUUUAAAAUGUCUCGUUAGCGAGAAAAAUCGUUUUCCGGUGUGAGCGAAAGGAGCAUUAAAAAACAAAACAUUUUAUGUUCUUGGAAAAAAACACUGUUCUGUGAUAAGAAGCGCCAAGGAUAUGGAGAGUAACCGAAGGAGGAGCCUGAGGAGCAGGGAAAGCCAGCCAACCGAGAGGAAGGUCUUGGGGGAGCAACGACUAGUUUCUUCUCCAUGUUAUUAUCUGCCGUGUCCGGUAAGUGCCGCGUAUAAGAUAGCCGGGAUGUGGAAGACAUCAUGUCAAUCCCGGCCAUUCCGCUCACCGCCACUGUGACCACUUAGCUAUGCGGACAGGAAUACUUGUACUAACUCUACUAUUCCUAUACUAAUGAUUCCGAGAGGAAUUCCUCCGUUCUGUUUCGCGUUUCCUUGCGUCCAUAAUAAUGCUUACCUAGUUUGUCACACGGUCUAGGACCGCGGCAAUUCAAUUAUACGGAGCUUUUAACAUAUCGAAAAAACAGAGAGAGAGAGAGAGAGAGAGAGAGAGAGAGAGAUACAAGAAUUCUCUAUAUCAUUUAAUAGAGAAUUCUUGUAAGCCGUCCAUAAUACGUUAAGAUAUUAGCGCUGAUUGCAAAGUGUUAUACUGUACAAAAUAAAAUACUUAAAUUAUACAAAUCACGA